rnacentral:rRNA from 1 species
CACAAGCGGUGGAGUAUGUGGUUUAAUUCGAUGCAACGCGAAGAACCUUACCUGGCUUGACAUCCCGGAGACCCUUAGGAAACUAGGGGGUGCUUCCAUCUGGAAGAAUCUGGAGACAGGUGCUGCAUGGCUGUCGUCAGCUCGUGUCGUGAGAUGUUGGGUUAAGUCCCGCAACGAGCGCAACCCUUGCCUUUAGUUGCCAGCAGUUCGGCUGGGCACUCUAAAGGGACUGCCGGUGUUAAACCGGAGGAAGGUGGGGAUGACGUCAAGUCCUCAUGGCCUUUAUGACCAGGGCUACACACGUACUACAAUGGCCGAUACAGAGGGCAGCGACACUGCGAGGUGAAGCCAAUCCCGUAAAAUCGGUCUCAGUCCGGAUUGGAGUCUGCAACUCGACUCCAUGAAGUUGGAAUCGCUAGUAAUCGUGGAUCAGCAUGCCACGGUGAAUACGUUCCCGGGCCUU